AUUUAAAACAAGACAAAAUAAAUUCUAUAAAAAAACGUAAACAAACUUAUUCGAUACGAUAGUCGAUUAGCCUUAUUCGAUAUAAUAAGUCGAUAACAGAUCGCGGUAACAGCGCCUGUUAAGCUGUUAAGGCGAACUAUCUGGCAACUCUGCAAACUGACAAGCUACCCUUCACUAACCCAGGAAAAGUUCUUUUGCGAUCCAGAAUCAAAAGUGAACGGUUGGAGUUAUAGCAAUUAAAAACCCAAGCCAAAUCCACAUCCAAAUCCCACGUGGGAAAAGUUAGUACCCAAAGUGGUACUCAAGUCUUCCACCAAGUGCAGCUGAAUAUUGACCGUGAACGUGCGCUGCCGUUGGCAUCAGCACGCGUGUCUGUGUGUGUGUGUGUCUGAAACAUUCAGGUCAUCCUCAAAACCCCGUAAUAGUGGGCGUAGAGCUACACCGGAGCCUACGACAAACAACGCAUCCCGUCGCGACCCAGAAGUCCACGGCGGAGCCACCGCGUGCCUUGCUGGGUAGACGUUGCGGAAACGCUUUCCUCGAUCAGCCCCUAAACGUGCGCGGACCCGGUCCAGACUCGAACCACAAUAGGCGAGGUCUGUGACCGGCGACGUGUGCGUGAUUGGGGCAGCAUAGGAUCAGGAGCGGUGCUGAAACUUUUCGAGGAACGUGUGUGAGGACAUAACCUCACUUUGUGAAGCAGCACCUCAUGUUCGGCAACAUGACCUCGGCCAUGUAAAGGGCAGUUCGGCGAUCGCUGCAGCAAUCAUUUAGAGGCGACUAAAUAACAACAGCGACAACAAAGGAGACAUGCGCAAUAAAUUGUGCCAGUAGCAGCGGAGCAAAAUAGUUGGCAACAUAUACAUCGAAUCUUCGUAAUUUAAUUUAAAUUUCAUCAAAGCACCCUGCGCUCCAGUCUACAGGCCUGCGGACUUCGAGGGAUUUGGUUUCGUGAGUACAAUAUAGACUCGAUCAUGUAUUAUUGCCGCUCAAAGAAAGCGUAUGAAUAUUUAGGUAUCGUAAUGCAUAAAAUCUACUUUAACUAUUAUUUGACCCAGCUACAUAUAUAUAUAUAUUCCUUUAUCUUUUGAAUAUUUAACUUUUUGUAUUACAUCCAAAAAAAUUCCAUUAUUAUUAUUAUUAAAUCCAUUAUUAUUUGUUAAUUAACCGGUAUUACAACCGUUUAUGGGAAUUAGGCUAAGCACAAUCUAGAAAGAAGAGCAAUCAUGUUUUAUAAUGAAGUUGAUUAAUUGAUAUUGAAAUGAAGUAAAAUUAUAGUUUAAUGGGCACCUGAGCUGAAAGAUUUCAUUUUAAAUGGGUAAGGGCAACAAUACUUCGUUGCGAAGUUGUUAAGUCUUUACAGGUAGGGCGGGCCAAGCGGAAGAACCUCACCACCUUAGUUCUUCGAUAGCACGGUUUCCUGUCUUGAAUUCAUAUCCUUCCAACUGACUGUAUCCCCUUUCCUAACUCUGUCUACAAAUUUUUAUUGUGUGGCGGUGAUGCUGAUUAGGAAGUAACCGACCCCCUUGCCUCUUCCCUGAGCUAGGCCUUUCCCGUAGGCAGAGUAUGCAACCAGUCGGUAUCCACUACACCGUGUUCGUCACAGAAUAAAAUGGCGCCCAACGUGGGGCUAGCAAAACAUCUAGCUAAGCAACAAACAAAACACCAAAUCGCAGCCCCUGCUCUCACGAGCUAACCUCCAACCUAUCCUAACAGUCAGCCUUCCAAACAAGUUUCUUUAGUUUCAGAAAACCCUUCUUUUGAUUCCACUAGGAUUGCUGUGUUUUGGGAAAUCCUCAGAACCAGACCAGGGAACAAAUUAAGGAUUAGGAAAGAUGUUUCUCUUGAAAUAUCCCUUUGUUUAUACAUGUAUUUAAGGAACAAGAAGUCGAGACUGUAUUGGCUGGAAUGUUUCAGCAAUAACUCCUUCUUAGCCCUUGAUCAACUCAUCAAACCAUAAAUAUUCAUAAAUUCGAGAAUUGUAAUUGUUGGAAAAUUCAGCAAUACCUCAUUUUUCAAUAUUUUGGCUUCAAUUUUGGCCUCUAUUAUUGUCAAAAGUUGCCUAAAAGAAAUUGAGAUUUAUAUUGGUUGGAGUAUUUCAGCAGUAUACUCUUUCAUUUAGCGCAAUGAACACAUCAGGUUGUUUUAGAUUCAAUACCGAUAUGAAAAUACAGACAGAAACCCUUGUAAUGUACUAAAUGAAAUCGAUACAGCAAAGGAUAAGACCCAAGAUAUCCCAUAAAAAUUCAGGUUUCCGAAAUUAAAUUGUGGAAAUAAUAGACUUAAUAUCUAUCAAAUUUCGUUAUAUUUUGUUGUUGUUGUUGUAUAUCGAAAACGAAACAAUGUCAGUUCGGCGUAGUCACGAUCUUUCGAGGAGCCAACCGAGCUACUGGCUAUAGAAGUAGACGUAUUUCCAGAGAUUGACUUGCAGUCAGAUGCAUUCCAAUCGGAGGAGUAUAUUCAGCUAAGAGACCGUGUCCAAAAAUUCAGUGUACCUGGAUUUCGAGUCAUGGAUAUCUAUAUUUACUAUAGAGCAGGCUUUGCUAGCGGAAAUCAAGAAGUUGAUGAUGCGAAUUACAAACUUCUAGUUCCACGCGAAUUGCGAGCAAGCGUAAUUCAGUCUACCCAUGACCAACCAACAUCGUCGCAUGGCGGGGUGGCAAAAUGUCUCGAGCGACUUCGAAGAAACUUCUAUUGGCCAAAUAUGGUGAUAGAUGUGCGCAAUUAUAUAGCACAUUGCGAUAUUUGCAAAACUUGUAAACAUCCGACGCAACGUCUUCGACCGCCGAUGGGUUGUCAAGCCACAAGUGAAAGACCAUUUCAGCGGUUAUAUAUCGAUUUUAUCGGUCCAUUUCCAAGAACCCGGAACGGAAAUAUAGGCAUAUUAAUUCUCUUAGAUCAUUUCUCCAAAUUUACUUGGCUAAGGCCGGUCAAAAAGUUCACUUCUAAGGUAGUGAUGGAUUACUUAGAAGAGGAGAUUUUUGUAUGUUUUGGAACCCCGGAGGUUUUGGUUAGCGAUAAUGGCACUCAGUUUAAAAGCCAGGACUUAUAUCCAAGCAUGGAAUCCAACAUAUCUUCACUGGUGCUUACUCCCCACAGUCCAACGCGGCAGAGCGGGUCAAUCGGUCGAUCAAUGCAGCCUUACGAUCAUAUAUUCGGUCAGACCAACGGUGGUGGGACUUGUAUAUAGGAAAAAUUAAUUCUGCCUUGAGAAAUAAUAUUCACCAAUCAAUUGGAGAAUCUCCUUACUAUGUAAUCUUUGGCCAGCACAUGCUAACGCAUGGAAAAGAUUAUAAGUUGCUAAGAAACAUCCAUAUGUUGUCAGAAGGAUCCGCAAAGGUUCCUAGAGCAGACGAAUUCCCGAAAAUCCGAGCGGAUAUCGCUAAGAGAUUGAUUAAAGCAUAUGAGAAGAACCGAAAUAACUACGACUUGCGCGCUCGACCUCGAACUUUCGAAGUGGGUCAGGAAGUCAUAAAGAGGAAUUUCGUUCUCAGCAACCAGGCUAUGCAUGUUAACGCAAAACUAGCACCUGUAGGAAUCAAGGCCAGAAUAAAAGAGAAGCGAGGCCAGUCGUUAUAUUUGCUCGAAGACUACAAUGGAAAGGAAUUAGGAGUUUUUCAUGCCAAAGACAUUUGGUGAGGUACCCUUUUUCAGAUUUCAUCUCCUUUCUAUGAGCAGGUCGAUAAAACCUGUGGUGUGAGGGUACGAAUAAAAUUUAAAACAAGACAAAAUAAAUUCUAUAAAAAAACGUAAACAAACUUAUUCGAUACGAUAGUCGAUUAGCCUUAUUCGAUAUAAUAAGUCGAUAACAGAUCGCGGUAACAGCGCCUGUUAAGCUGUUAAGGCGAACUAUCUGGCAACUCUGCAAACUGACAAGCUACCCUUCACUAACCCAGGAAAAGUUCUUUUGCGAUCCAGAAUCAAAAGUGAACGGUUGGAGUUAUAGCAAUUAAAAACCCAAGCCAAAUCCACAUCCAAAUCCCACGUGGGAAAAGUUAGUACCCAAAGUGGUACUCAAGUCUUCCACCAAGUGCAGCUGAAUAUUGACCGUGAACGUGCGCUGCCGUUGGCAUCAGCACGCGUGUCUGUGUGUGUGUGUGUCUGAAACAUUCAGGUCAUCCUCAAAACCCCGUAAUAGUGGGCGUAGAGCUACACCGGAGCCUACGACAAACAACGCAUCCCGUCGCGACCCAGAAGUCCACGGCGGAGCCACCGCGUGCCUUGCUGGGUAGACGUUGCGGAAACGCUUUCCUCGAUCAGCCCCUAAACGUGCGCGGACCCGGUCCAGACUCGAACCACAAUAGGCGAGGUCUGUGACCGGCGACGUGUGCGUGAUUGGGGCAGCAUAGGAUCAGGAGCGGUGCUGAAACUUUUCGAGGAACGUGUGUGAGGACAUAACCUCACUUUGUGAAGCAGCACCUCAUGUUCGGCAACAUGACCUCGGCCAUGUAAAGGGCAGUUCGGCGAUCGCUGCAGCAAUCAUUUAGAGGCGACUAAAUAACAACAGCGACAACAAAGGAGACAUGCGCAAUAAAUUGUGCCAGUAGCAGCGGAGCAAAAUAGUUGGCAACAUAUACAUCGAAUCUUCGUAAUUUAAUUUAAAUUUCAUCAAAGCACCCUGCGCUCCAGUCUACAGGCCUGCGGACUUCGAGGGAUUUGGUUUCGUGAGUACAAUAUAGACUCGAUCAUGUAUUAUUGCCGCUCAAAGAAAGCGUAUGAAUAUUUAGGUAUCGUAAUGCAUAAAAUCUACUUUAACUAUUAUUUGACCCAGCUACAUAUAUAUAUAUAUUCCUUUAUCUUUUGAAUAUUUAACUUUUUGUAUUACAUCCAAAAAAAUUCCAUUAUUAUUAUUAUUAAAUCCAUUAUUAUUUGUUAAUUAACCGGUAUUACAACCGUUUAUGGGAAUUAGGCUAAGCACAAUCUAGAAAGAAGAGCAAUCAUGUUUUAUAAUGAAGUUGAUUAAUUGAUAUUGAAAUGAAGUAAAAUUAUAGUUUAAUGGGCACCUGA